rnacentral:rRNA from 1 species
GUUCAGAUUGCAGGCUGAAACCCGCCUGCAUGAAGACGGAAUUGCUAGUAAUCGCGGAUCAGCAUGCCGCGGUGAAUACGUUCCCGGGCCUUGUACACACCGCCCGUCACACCAUGGGAGUCGGAAAUGCCCGAAGCCGGUGACCCAACCAAAAGGAGGGAGCCGUCGAAGGCAGGUCUGAUAACUGGGGUGAAGUCGUAACAAGGUAUC